rnacentral:vault_RNA from 1 species
GCGCCGGUAUAGCUCAGUGGUUACUUCGUUGAACUUUCUCACUCGAGGAUACUCAGCUUCAUCCCUUCGCGGGAUCGAACCACGGGCGCUGUCCAGCGUUUUU